rnacentral:rRNA from 1 species
AAUCCCGUGAACCAUCGAGUCUUUGAACGCAAGUUGCGCCCGAAGCCAUUAGGUCGAGGGCACGCCUGCCUGGGCGUCACGCAUCGNGUCGCCCCCACCCCCUCCGCCCGCCCGCCCACGCGGACGGGAUCGCGGAUGCGGGGGGGGGACGGAAGUUGGCCUCCCGUGGGCUCCCGCCCGCGGCCGGCCC